rnacentral:rRNA from 1 species
AUUGAACGCUGGCGGCAUGCCUUACACAUGCAAGUCGAACGGCAGCACGGGUGCUUGCACCUGGUGGCGAGUGGCGAACGGGUGAGUAAUAUAUCGGAACGUACCUUAUUGUGGGGGAUAACGCAGCGAAAGCUGUGCUAAUACCGCAUAAUCCCUAAGGGGGAAAGCGGGGGACCGUAAGGCCUCGCGCAAUUAGAGCGGCCGAUACCUGAUUAGCUAGUUGGUGAGGUAAAGGCUCACCAAGGCAACGAUCAGUAGCUGGUCUGAGAGGACGAUCAGCCACACUGGGACUGAGACACGGCCCAGACUCCUACGGGAGGCAGCAGUGGGGAAUUUUGGACAAUGGGGGCAACCCUGAUCCAGCAAUGCCGCGUGAGUGAAGAAGGCCUUCGGGUUGUAAAGCUCUUUUGUCAGGGAAGAAACAGCAGCUCUAACACAGUUUGCGAAUGACGGUACCUGAAGAAUAAGCACCGGCUAACUACGUGCCAGCCGCCGCGGUAA